UGAGCCAAGUUUAGGGUUUUCUCAAAACCCAAGCAGUAUUGAACUGAAGAGUUUGAUCAUGGCUCAGAUUGAACGCUGGCGGCAGGCCUAACACAUGCAAGUCGAGCGGAUGAAGGGAGCUUGCUCCUGGAUUCAGCGGCGGACGGGUGAGUAAUGCCUAGGAAUC
rnacentral:rRNA from 1 species